AAUCAUCAUUAUUAUUGCUCUCACUUAUUACCAACUUUCUAGCUUGGGCUCUCAUCUUCAUGCACCUGGAAAGUCAUAAUAGCUUCCUCACUAGUCUUCCUGCCACCAGACUGUCCCCCCUCCCUAUACCCUUUCUCCACACCAAACCCAGAGUUAUUAUUAUCUAAAAUCCAAACCUGAUCAUCUCACUCACCAUUCCCCAACUGCCCGCUUAUGUCCUUCUGUGACUUCUCACUGCCUCAGAAUCCAGUCAGAAUCCUUGCAGUUCCUCCAGGAUCCAGCCAAUACAUAUCCCUUUGGUCUCACCUCCAGGACCUUUUUAUCUUACAGCUGGCAUCUGUGACUGGACACUGUGGAUAUUCUAGUGGAUAAGGUAGACAGGACCCUGCCUUAUGGACUUUACAUUUUAGUGAGGUGACUUCCAAACCAUGGCUCAAGGUGGUUGCUUGAACUCCAUCUGUUAUACCUACAUCCCAGUCAUCAAAAGGAAACAGGAGAGAAGGGCAUUCCCAGGUGAGGGAAAAGCAUAGAUGAAAUUGUGGAAUGGAGAGGCAUAGCUUGACCAAUGAAGGGCAGGAGGCUCCAUGGGGCAGCAGCAUGGAAGGGGAUAGAGUGAAAGGUGAGGUAAGAAACAUGGUCAGGGCAGGUGAAAGUACAGAAAAUAAUAGAAUAUGUUCACCACCCAGUUGUGUCAUAUGUUAAUAUCCUGCCAUAUUUUCUCAAUUUUUAAAAGAAAUAUAGUAUUUUGGAUACAACUGAUGCUCCCUGCACAAGCCCCUGUCCGAAUUUCCACUCCCCUUUGCAAUGGUACCCAUUUUCCUGAAUUCCAAGUUUUAUAUGUUCCAUGCUUUAUGAUUGUACUACAUGUGUAAAUCAUGUGUUUUCAUGCUUUUAAAAAUGCUUUUAAACUUUAUUAUAUGAAUGGUAUAAUACUUUGUAUACAUCCUUUUCCACCUUUUCCCCCAUUAACAUUGUGUUUUGAGGAUUUGUCUAGAUUAUUUCAUAUUUGAAUUCCAUUGCAUAAAUAUUUCACACUCUAUUUUUCCACCUUUACAAGCAACACUACAAUGAACAUUCUUGUACAUUUUCCUUGUGAGACUUUAGGCUGUGGACCUAGAUGUGGAAUUGUUGGGUUCAAGGGUAACGUGCAUCUUCAACUUUAUUUGUGAAGUAAAAUUGCUCUCCAACUAAGCGGUUGUAUCAAUUUACACUUCCGUAAGCAGUAUACAGUUGUUUCCAUUUUGCCCCACUCUCUGCCAACAAUGAAUAGUCAGAUUUUCUUUUAAGUUGCCAAAA